UAGGAAGUGGUGUAGUGGAGCACUAGGAGUUUUGGUCUCCUCAGUAAGGGUUCGAGUCCCUUCUCUCUAA
rnacentral:tRNA from 1 species